GGGUAGGUGCCCGAGUGGUUAAUGGGAACAGACUGUAAAUCUGUCACGCGAUGCGUUACGCUGGUUCGAAUCCAGCCCUACCCA
rnacentral:tRNA from 1 species